rnacentral:rRNA from 1 species
CCUACGGGAGGCAGCAGUGGGGGAUAUUGCACAAUGGGGGGAACCCUGAUGCAGCGACGCCGCGUGGGUGAAGAAGCGCCUCGGCGCGUAAAGCCCUGUCAGCAGGGAAGAAAAUGACGGUACCUGAAGAAGAAGCCCCGGCUAACUACGUGCCAGCAGCCGCGGGAAUACGUAGGGGGCAAGCGUUAUCCGGAUUUCCUGGGUGUAAAGGGGGCGCAGACGGCGAUGCAAGCAAGGAGUGAAAGCCCGGGGCCCAACCCCGGGACUGCGCUUGGAACUGUGUGGCUGGAGUGCAGGAGGGGCAGGCGGAAUUCCUGGUGUAGCGGUGAAAUGCGUAGAUAUCAGGAGGAACACCGGUGGCGAAGGCGGCCUGCUGGACUGCAACUGACGUUGAGGCCCGAAAGCGUGGGGAGCAAACAGGAUUAGAUACCCUAGUAGUC